rnacentral:lncRNA from 1 species
AGGGACUUGUAUAACAAUUGCCUUUCUGAUCUAACAAGUUGAGGUUUAUUUAGAGUGUUGGGGUGGUAAUAGUUUUUGUCUUAAUUUGUUCAAGUUCGAUAAAAUAAGCAACCUUUAUACUUACUGAGUGUGUUGAAUUUUUGUUAUGGCUCAUGAAGAUUUUUGAGGGAAUAGGUAAUAGAAAUUUUUCACACUAGGGACUUAACUUAAAAUAUAUUAUAAGAAUUUUUAUUUUAUUUUAUUUAUUUUUUUAUAAACAGUUCAAGGGAAAUAACAAUGAAAAGAAGGGUAUAUACUUGAAGAAGGGAGGAUAGAAAGAACACGGUUUUCCCCCCCAUACUUAAAUGAAACAUUGUCCCCAAUGUUUCAAGGAAAUCAAAA